UACAGAGGGGGCAAGCGUUGUUCGGAAUUACUGGGCGUAAAGGGCGCGUAGGCGGCCUGCUAAGUCGAACGUGAAAUCCCCGAGCUCAACCCGGGAACUGCGUCCGAGACUGGCAGGCUCGAAUCCGGGAGAGGGAUGUGGAAUUCCAGGUGUAGCGGUGAAAUGCGUAGAUAUCUGGAGGAAUACCGGUGGCGAAGGCGGCAUCCUGGACCGAUAUUGACACUGAGGAGCGAAAGCCAGGGGAGCAAACGGG
rnacentral:rRNA from 1 species